UACGAAGGGGGCUAGCGUUGUUCGGAAUCACUGGGCGUAAAGCGCACGUAGGCGGAUCGUUAAGUCAGGGGUGAAAUCCCGGAGCUCAACUCCGGAACUGCCUUUGAUACUGGCGACCUAGAGUCCGGAAGAGGUGAGUGGAACUCCUAGUGUAGAGGUGGAAUUCGUAGAUAUUAGGAAGAACACCGGUGGCGAAGGCGGUGAGCUGGGCAGUAGCUGACACUGAGGCGCGACAGCGUGGGGAGCA
rnacentral:rRNA from 1 species